AAAACAUUUGGACCGUCGGUCUACCGAGCAAUAUCACCCGCUCGGUGAAAGAUGUUCCUUUCGUCUU
rnacentral:pre_miRNA from 1 species